UACAGAGGGUGCGAGCGUUAAUCGGAAUUACUGGGCGUAAAGCGCACGUAGGUGGCGACGUAAGUCGGGUGUGAAAGCCCCCGGCUCAACCGGGGAGGGUGGCUGCAAACUGGGCUUCUUGAGGGGGAUAGAGGAGAGUGGAAUUCCGGGUGUAGCGGUGAAAUGCGUAGAGAUCCGAGGAACACCAGUGGCGAGGCGGCACUCUGG
rnacentral:rRNA from 1 species